GUUACUGUCCACAGUAUGUCUACAGUGUCAAGCAGUAGACAUGCUCGUCCACAUGGUGGCUGGAUUCUCCGUUCUCCUCAUCGUCUCUCUCUCUCUCCGAUCAGCAGCGCAGCUUGGUGACGGCGGCGCGGACGGGUCUCUGCCUGGCUGAUUUGCUCCCCACGUUAAUACCUUGCCUGGCUCAUCAGCGUCGGGGUACCAGGAAGCCGCGGGCACCGACGGGAGCGGCGUCGGCGGGAGCAGUAGCGGCAACGGCGGCGCCGGGAACUGGCUCCGGCUCGGCCUCGUCCCGACGUCCCUCGGUGCUGGCGCCGCGGGCUCGCCGGUCGGCACCUUCACGGACCGUGCAGCGAGGCCGCUUCCCCUGCCGUCACAGCCGCGGACGACGAUGGCGGAGGCGCUGCCGCGGCCAUCGGAAUAUGGUUCGUGCUCCGGACCGCACCGCACCGGUCUUUGGAUUUUCUGAGGGAACAUGUCAAGAAUAUUGAGAAGAAAUCUGCUACUACUCUACAAGAUCCUCUAGAGAUAUUGUGUUUCUAAGAAUCAUAAUCAGUGGACAGAGCACGGCAACCAUGACCUCUCUAAUGUUCUCCCAAUCCUCUCAGUCUGGGUCUUAUGAGUUAUGACGUCAUGUGCUAUCCAAACGUCUUCUAGAACCUUUUCUGCCACAUCUUCCAACACCCCUUCUACAAGUUGCUCAACAACACCAUCAAUAACAGUAGUCAAUUCUACUGUAAACACAAAGCUAACUUGCUGGAUUGGGGAGGAAAGUAAUUGCAAAUGAUCAGGGCACUUGACAACAACAUCAAGCAGAUUGGAAACACGGGGCAACUGAAGUAAAUUCUUGCAGUAAACUUGCAGCAAAUUUUCAGUGCAUACAGAUUUAUGUAGAUGUACCAAGAUCAAUGCAUGAACCAUAAACCCAUACAACAACUUAAGUAAAUCUGUGCAUAUGUACCCUUUUCUUGGUUUUUGUUUUUCUUCUCUUUGUUUGCCGAUCAAUCUUUGUUACUGCUGUUCAUAUCUGGUUGGGCAAUUUUGGUUUUGUCGCCGUCAUUUUCGUCAGGCAUUGAUGAGCAGUGGAGAGGAUCUACUUUUUGGUGUCUGGAGGUGGCGCGUGGGGUCAAUUCUAUUGUAAACACAAAGCUAACUUGCUGGGUUGGGGAAGAAAGUAAUUGCAAAUGAUCACGGCACUUGGCAACAACAUCAAGCAGAUUGGAAACACGGGGCAACUGAAGUAAAUUCUUGCAGUAAACUUGCAGCAAAUUUUCAGUGCAUACAUAUUUACGCAGAUGUACCAAGAUCUAUGCAUGAACCCUAAACCUAAGAUACAAUAACUUAAAUAAAUCUGUGCAUAUGUACCCUUUUCAUUGUUUC